rnacentral:lncRNA from 10 species
ACUCCGUGGCGGAAGGCGGCUAGAGCGGCUCCCUCUGAGCUCUCCGAGAGAUUGGUCGGGACCUGAAGCGUUGAGGUUAAGGGCAAGGCAAGGAGCAACGAGGAGUUUUUCGUUACGUUAGAAAAAUUUCGUUGCGUGCUGAAGCGCUUUUACCUGUGUUGUAUGAUUUAACCUUAUGAAAAUGGACAGUAUUCCAGUUUUACAAGUGAGGAAAGAAGAUUAAGAAACUUGCCUCCGCCAGGCGUGGUGGUUCACUCCUGUAAUCCCAGCACUUUCGGCGGCGAGGCAGGCGGAUCACUUGAGGUCAGGAGUUCGAGACCAGCCUGGCCAACAUGGUGAAACCCCGGCUCUACUAAAAAUGCAAAAAUUAGCCGGGCGUAGUGGCACGCGCCUGUAAUCCCAGCUACUCUGGAGGCUGAGGCAGGAGAAUCGCUUGAACCUAGGAGGCGGAGGUUGCAGUGAGCCGAGAUCGCGCCACUACACUCCAGCCUGGGCGACAGCGCGAGACUCCGUCUCAAAAAAAAGAAACUUGCCUUGAGUCCUACAUAUAGUUUGCUGUAGUAGCAGAAUUUGAACUCGGACCGACUAAUGGUCUACUUAAUAAAAUGCUAUUUGGAUUCUCUAUAAAAUUAAUAAUAUAGAAGUAAUGUUAAUUAUAGAAAACUUGGAAAAUAUUAAAUUCAUUCGAUAAAGAUUGAAUAUGUAGCACGUGUGUUUGUCAGAUACUGGUCUCGUGAAAAUUAUAUUCUGGUAGGGAAGACAGAAAACAAGUAGGGAUAAAGAAAUUUUUAAAAGAUAUUCAUAAGUAGUGUCGUGUAGAAAACUGGGUAUAGGUUGAGUAUCCUUCAUCCCAAAUGCUUAAGACCAGAACUGUUUCAGAUUGUGGCUCUUUAUCUUGGGGAUGGGGCCAGAGGCUAAACUUGAAAUUCAUUUAUGUUUCGUAUACACCUUAUGCACAUAGCCUCAGGGUAAUUUUAUGCAAUUUUAAAAAUUGUGUGUGUAUCAAACAAAAUUUUGACUACAGCUUUUUACAUGCGGUCAGGUGUGGAAUUUUCCACUGUGGCAUCGUGUUGAUGAUCAAAAAGUUUUGAUUUUGGAGCAUUUUAAUUUCAGAUGGUUGGAUUAGGGUUGCUGAACAUGUAAUGGUAUACAGAACAACUGAGUAGGUGUGGUGCUCACGUCUGUAAUCCCAGCACUUUGGGAGGCCUAGGCGGGCGAAUCACGAGGUCAGGAGUUUGAGACCAGCCUGGCCAACAUGGUGAAACCCUGUCUGUACUAAAGAUAAAAAAAAUUAGCUGGGCGUAGUGGCGGGUGCCUGUAAUCCCAGCUGCUAAGAAGGCUGAGGCAGGAGAAUUGCUUGAACCCGGGAGGCAGAGGUUGCAGUGAGGCGAGAUCGUGCCCCUGCUCUCCAGCCUGGGCAACAGUGCAACACUUCAUCUCAAAAAAAUAAAUAAGAAGUAAAAAAUAAAUAAAAUCGUAGGUAUUAUCAUCUAUCGACAAUCUGUUCUCCACACUGCAGCCACAGUAAUCUUUUUUAGUAGAGGAGAGGUCUUGCUAUGUUGCGCAGGCUGGUCUGGAACUCCUGGGCUCAAGUGAUCCUCCUGCCUCAGCCUCCCAAGAUGCUAGCAUUACAGGCAUGAGCCAACACCCCUGUCCUAUACCUAGGAUUUAAUGAACAUUCAAUAUGUGGUAGGCAGUAUUCUAAGAAUUUGAGGCCAGGCACAGUGCCUCAUGCCUGUAAUCCCAGCACUUUGGGAGGCUGAGGCAGGCAGAUCACUUGAGGUCAAGAGUUUGAGAUCAGCCUGGCCAACAUGGCAAAACCCCGUCUCUACUAAAAAUAUAAAACUUAGCCGGGUGUGGUGGCAGGCACCUGUAAUCUCAGCUACUCGGGAGGCUGAGGCAGGAGAAUUGCUUGAACCCAGGAGGCGGAGGUUGCACUGAGCUGAGAUGAAGCCUGGGUGAGAGAGAUUCCAUCUCAAAAAAAAAAAAAAAAAGCCGGGUGCAGUGGCUCAUGCCUGUAAUCCCAGCACUUUGGGAGGCCAAAGCGGGUGGAUCACGAGGUCAGGUUUUUGAGACUAGCCUGGCCAACAUAGUGAAACCCCGUCUCUAUUGAAAAUAGCCAGGUGUGGUGGCAGGAGCCUGUAAUCCCAGCUACUCAGGAGGCUGAGGCAGGAGAAUCACUUGAACCUGGGAGGCAGAGGUUGCAGUGGGCCGAGAUCGUGCCAUUGCACUCCAGCCCAGGCGACAGUGCAAGACUCUGUCUCAAAAAAAAAAAAAAAAAAAAAAAGCACGAUUAUGUGUUAGCUCAUUUAAUCCUCAUAACAGCCUUUGACAUAGGUACUACUAUUAUCCCCUGCUUGGGAAAAUCACACACCUAAUCAGUGGCAGAUUAUAGACACGUGCCACCACGCCCGGCUAAUUUUUGUAUUUUUAGUAGAGUCAGGGUUUCACCAUGUUGUGCAGGCUGGUCUCAAAUGCCUGACCUCAGGUGAUCUACCUGCCUUGGCCUCCCAAAGUGCUGGGAUUACAGGCAUGAGCCACUGCACCCGGCCUGGAGAGGUACCUUUAAACCAUAUAAAUAUCACAUUCCUCAUUAUGCUUGUAAUUUGUUUAUGUUUGUAUUCAUAUAUUCACAUGAGCUCAUGGUUUAUUUCUUCUGAUGGGUUAUAAUUAAUUACUACUAUUACUUAUUUUGAUGCUCAAAUUUGUCCAGUGGGAACCCUUUUAAUCUGUGUGUCAUUUCAAUGAUUCAUCCUCAUCAAUCUUUGGGCACUUUUUCUCUCUGGCACAAGAAGUUCCACACUCAUGUAUUUUCUCUGCCCCAGCCCUGAAUUUAGCCAUUUUAUCAAAGAGUCUUGGUUCCUUUAGUUGAUGUUAUGGACUGAAUAUUCGUGUCCCUCAAAUUCAUAUGUUGAAGCCUUCACCAGCAAUGUGAUGGUCUUUGGUGAUUCAGCCUUUGGGAAGUACCUAGGGUUAGAUGAGAUAAUGAGGAUGGGACUGUCAUGAUGGGAUUAAUGCCCUUUUAAAAAGGGACACCAGAGAGCUUGUGCUGUCUGCCAUACAAGGACACGGUGAGAAGGUGGCCAUCUGCAAGCCAGGAAGAAAGCCCUCACUAGAAACCAAACUGGCUGGUACUUUAAUCUUGGACUUCCAAGCUUCUAGAACUGUGAGGAUAAAUUUCUGUUAUUUAAGCUGCCCAGUCUAUGGUAUUUUGUAAUGCAGCCCAAGCAGACUAAGACAGUGAAGAAUUUGGAAGGCAAGAUAUGGGUACUUUAUGUGCUCAUUAUUAUUGGAGCAUAACUGCUCCAAGGCCACCUUGGUGGACAGACUAGGGAAUAUACAUAUUUGGACACAUACACACGUGUAUAUUUAUAUGCUUAUAUGUCCUCUAUUUUUAUUUGAGGCAGGAUCUCGCUCUGUUGCCCAGGCUGGAGUGCAGUGGUGCGAUCUCAGCCCACUGCAACCUCUGCCUCCCAGGUUCAAGUGAUUCUCGUGCCUCAGCCUCCCAAGUAGCUGGGACUACAGGUGUGUACCACCACACCUGGCUAAUUUUUGUAUUUUUACUAGAGAUGGGGUUUCGCAGUGUUGGCCAGGCUGGUCUCAAACUCCUGAUCUCAAGCGAUCUGCCCGCCUCGGCCUCCCAAAGUGCUGGGAUUAUAUGCGUGAGCCACUGUGCCCAGCCGAUAUUUCAUCUAUUUUUAUAGAUUUUAAACCAUGAAUUCACUUUCUUAAACCCAAUUCAAGCUGAACUCCAGGUUUCAUUCUAGUUUCCCCCCUUUCUGUAUUUAUAAUUACCUUCUCUGUGGUUAGUAUAUUCACUUUAUUCCAUCAAGUCUUUGGUGUGCAACCAAUCUACCAUCUCUGCUGACACCCUUACCCCAUAUGGACACCCCUUUCUGUGCUUGAGCUUAUUCCUCAUUCCAGGUUGCCCCUAUCCACCAUGUGAAUAACUGCCUCAAUCUGUCCCUGACACCUCAUACCUAGCUGUCCAUCAUUGUAGACACUGUCUUCACCCUAUUAGGUCUCUGACACCCAAAUUUGGACUUCCAUAGGUCCCCUCUACCCAAUGUAAGCACAUUGAUCUGAACCACUGUGCAAACACGUGCCUGGGACUGCUAUCCCCAGAAAGUCCUGCUGGCAAGGUUGGCCCUUGCCAGGCAUCUGGGAACUUGAAUUUGAGGGGAGAUUCCCUCUAUUCCCUAACAAGCUUACUAUGUCUAACAGUGAGGCUUAACACUUUCACAUGCUGUCACUUGUUGCUGGAGUGACAUCCUGUGUGACUUCAUUAGGAGAGAACCCUUAGAAGCUGGUGCUUGGUUUCCUCUGGACUUCACUUAAUUCCUUUUUUCCCUUUGCUGAAUUUGCUUCAUAUCCUUUUGCUCUAAUAAAUCAUUGUUGGGAAUAAGACUAUAUGCUGAGUCCUGUGAGUGCUCCUAACGAAUCAUCAAACUUGCACAUAGUCUCGAGGGCUUAACCACCUAAUGACUUUAAAACAAUAGUUCUGGCAGGGUGUGGUGGCUCUGCCUGCCUGUAAUCCCAGCAUUUUGGGAGGCCGAGGCAGGAGGAUCACUUGAGCCCAGGAGUUUGAGACUGCAGGGAUUUUGAGACUGAUUACGCCACUGCUGUCCAGCCUGGGGCAAUAGAGACUCUGUCUCUAAAAAAAAACCUCAACCCCCUGAAAAAAAAAAAAUCCACAACAGUUCAGGAAGGAGGAAGGUAAGCAAUUUAGUGACAUUAUUAAUUUCAGCUCUUCCAUCCCACUGUUUUAUCUUACACUUCUUUGCUCUGUUUUUCUUUCCUUGAUUUCAUUUGACUAAUCACAUAAUUCUUAGUGACCCAUUUUAUCUUCUCUAAUGGCUUUUUAGAUCUACUGCACCCCAGUGAUGGGGUGAGAGAUUACAAAAUGCAUUCUUAUCACAAUCUACCUUACACUAAUGCUAUCUCACUUUGUGUACAAUAUAGUAAUAUUAUCUCAAUAUAAUUACAUUUAUUGCCCUCUCUGACCCUUCAUGCUAUUUCUGUCCUAUAUUUUACUUAUACAUAUAUUAUAAACACUGCAAUACUAUUUUUGUUUGCUUUAAACAGCAAUGAUAUUUAGAAAAAUAAAAAAGAAAAAUGUCUUUCUUAUUUACCAACAUGUUUAUCAUUUCAAAAUUCUUAAUUCCAUCCUGGAGAUACAGGUUCCCAUUGGGAAAUCCAUUUACUGAUAAGUCCAUCCAAGGAAAAUUUUAAUUUCAGAUACUACGUUUUUCACUCCAGAUUUAUAUUUUCCUUCAGCCUGAAGAAUUUCUUAAAGCAUUCCGUAUAAAGUCAGUCUGCCAGCAACAAAUUCUGUUUUCAUCUGGAAAAGAUUUUGUCUUAAGUUUUUCAAGAGAUAGGGACUCUGUCCCCCAGGCUGGAGUGCAGUAGCACGACCACAGCCCAUGCCCAGCUAAUUUUAUUUUUUGAUGGGGUUCUCACUAGGUUGCCCAGGCUGGUCACUCAUGGCCUCAAGGGAUUCUCCUGUCUCAGCCCCCCAAAGUGUUGGGAUUACAGGCAUAAGCCACUGAGCCUGGCCAUUGCCUUAACAUCUUGAAGGAUAUUUUAACUGGAUACAGAGUUUUAAGUUAACCUUUGUUUCAUCUUUGCACCUUAAAGAUGUCAUUCCAUCAUUUUCUUAAUUCCAUCAUUUCUGAUGAGGUUAGCCAUCACUCUUGUUUAUCUGAAUGUAAUGCUACUCCUUCCCACUCCCCACCUUGAUUGCUUUUAAGAUUUUUUUUUUUUUUUUUUUUGGCAAUGUGAUGUACCCAGAUGUAGUCUUUGUUGUAUUUAUUCUGCUUGGGGAUUCAGUGAACUUCUUAGAUCUGUACGUUGAUGUCUUUCAACACUUUGGGGAAAAUUUCACGCAUCAUUGCUUCAAAGAUUUCUCUUGCCCCAUUCUCUUCCUUUCCUUCUUUACUUCAAAUUACAGGAACUGAUAAUGUUCCAAAGGUCUCAAACCUCUGCUAUUUCUUUUUUCUUUCUCUCUCUGCUUUGGUUUGAUACUUACUUGUCUUUUUCAGUCUUUCCUGUUGUGCCUAGUUUACUGUUAAGUCCAUCCAUUUAAAUUUUUAAUUUCAGAUACUGUAGUUUUCAUUACAAGACUUUCCAGUGGGUUAUUUUUUAUUAUUUUCUAAUUAUUAUUAUUAUUAUUUUUGAGACGGUUGCCCAGGCUGGAGUGCAGUGGCGCGAUCUGGGCUCAUUGCAAGUUCCGCCUCCUGGGGUCAUGCCAUUCUCCUGCUUCAGCCUCCCGAGUAGCUGGGACUACAGGUGCCCGCCACCAUGCCAGGCUAAUUUUUUGUAUUUUUAGUAGAGACGGGGUUUCACCAUGUUAGCCAGGAUGGUCUCAAUCUCCUGACCUUGUGAUCUGCCUGUCUCGGCCUCCCAAAGUGCUGGGAUUACAGGCGUGAGCCACCGCGCCCAGCCAAUUAUUAUUAUUAUUUUUUGAGAUGGAGUUUUGCUCUUCUUGCCCAGGCUGGAGUGCAAUGGCAUGAUCUUGGUUCACUGCAACCUCUACCUCCCAGGUUCAAGCAAUUCUCCUGCUUCAGCCUCCCAAGUAGCUAGGAUUAUGGGCAUGCAUCACCCAUGCCCGGCUAGUUUUGUAUUUUUAGUAGAGACCGGGUUUCACCAUGUUGGUCAGGCUGGUCUUGAACUCCUGACCUUAGGUGAUCCACCUGCCUUGGCCUCCCAAAGUGCUGUGAUUACGGGCGUGAGGCACGGUGCCUGGCCUCUGUUGGGUUUUCAAUUCUUAUUUUUCUGCUGAAACUCCCUAUCUAUUCACCCAUUAUCUCUUCUUGUAAAUUCUUUUAACAUAUUUUAACGCUAUUUUAAAAUCACUCUCAUAGAGGUCACUUGUGCAUCUGCUUCUGUAUAUUUUCUGUUGAGUAUGGUAUGGACCACUUUUUUUUUUCCAUCAGGGAAGUUGAGUCAAAAGGAUCACAUAAUUUUUCUUUGCAUGCUUAGUAACUGUUUAUUAUGUACUGAGCUUUGGAUAUAUGCUGUGAUGACUGAAUUGUUUUCUUCUCAAGAAUGCUGUGUUUUGUUCUGGUUUUAAAUUACUAAUGGAUAACCUUGAUGCUGUGAGAUUUGAUUUUAAGCUUCAUUACAGUAAGUUUAUUUCCAUUUUGUCCUUAGUGCUGAAGCACAGCCUUUAGUUCUAGGAUGCUGUCAUUCUUCCUUAAGGCGUGGCAUUUUGGGGGUUCAAUGGGAAACACCAAGUAUUUACUCAGUCCUUCUUAGUGGAACUUGAAUUUCAAACUCUCUGUCCUUGGGCAGCUGCAAUCGCUGCUGAGUUUUUUAGACUUUAACUUGCUUUCUCCUGGGUUCCUUUAAAUAAUCACACUGCACCAGCACAAUUUUGGAAUCCACCAAGGAUUUGAAAGGAAUAUGUAGGCAGAUUUUAGAGCUUACUUUCUGAGGCACUCUCCUUCCCAAAAUUUCUCUUCUAAUUUUCAGGUGUUCUAGAAGUCCCAAAUGAUUCCUCAGCCUGUCAAAACUGUCACAUUCUACCUGAAUUCUAUAUCCAAGUGAACUGCACAAACUGGAAAUUGCCCUAUGGGUAAAAGCUGGUUAAGGUGAAUCUCGUUUACUUUUUAUUUUUUGAGACAGGUUCUCUGUAACCUGGGCUGGAGUGUGGUGGUGUGAUCUUGGCUCACUGCAACCUCCUCCUCCCGGGCUUAAGCGAUCCUCUAACCUCAGCCUCUUGAGUAACCGGGACUACAGGUGUAGGCCACCAAACCUGGCUAAUUUUUAGUUUAGUUUUUUUUUUUUUUUUUUUUUUGGCAGAAACAGGGUCUCCCUAUAUUCCCCAGGCUGGUCUUGAAUUCCUGAGUGUAAGCGAUUCUCCCAUACUGGCCUCCCAAACAGGCAUGAGCCACCACACCCAGCCUGAAUCUCUUCCAUUAUAGGACUUUGCAGUUUCUACCUUGUUUUGAUUGCUCUGCAGAGCCACCCAAUCAUUGCUUUCUAUAUUUUGUUAAGCGUUUAUAAUUGUUACUAAGAGUCCAAUACACACAACUCCUUCAUUAUCAGACUCCAACCCCUAAAAUAUCAAAAAGUUUUAAAGUAAAAAAGUAAAGACAAAAUAAAGUUUAUCAUUUAUUUCCAAUACAUUAGGAUAAAAACCCACUUUAUGCAACUGUACCCUUUAAUUCAUUUCUUCUGAAGAAAAGUACAAAAGACCAGACUAAAAUUGAGACAAGCAUUUAAAGGAAAAUCCUUUGACUCAGAGUCCAAAACCGAACUGUAAAUGGUUCAUUUUACCAAAAGAAUUAGUUUUUGUACAAAAUAUAAAGAAUUCUACACUAUAAACAAAGACGGCUGUAUAUGUAAUUAAAUUAGAAUUCUAGUAUCUGCUUUUCCUCUAAUUCUUCUGGAGUACAAACAUAUUUGCAAGUCAGAAAUCUAAUAUUCUCAAUGGACAGACUGUCUUAGAAUAAGCUUUUACCCUUAAGAUAUCUGGAAAGAUAGUACUCAUUCUUUCCCUUGGCUCAAAGUCCAAUAUAUCAGUAAGUUUUAAUUUAGUUUACAAAACUCUGCCAUAUUAACAUGAAGAGCACACUAAUGCUUAAUGUUUAAGCAUUAUCUUUUAGGAAGUAAUACAACACAGAGCUCAACACCGAAUCUAAAAGGUCACAAUCUAAGUCAUUAUUAAUUCAGAAAACUUCAGCAACUUCUAUCUUUAUUGAAAAAGACCAAACCAAUCCCUUAUCUCCUACUAUAUCAUUACUCUAUUUUCAUGGCCCUUCUAUCAAAGAAACAGCUUAAAAUAAAACUUGGUUAGAGUUAAGUCAUAGAAAAUAGUUCUCUAGCACUAGCUGAAGUUCAGACUUGAUCAGGAAAGCAACUUCUAUACAGUAAUGAUUUUCUGACUCAGUGUUUAAGAUAGUAUUAACCUGACUUUUAUCUCUUUUAACAUUUGAAAUCUUUGUUAUCUAAAAGUCUUUCCCAAUAGAAUUAUAACCAUGAUAGUUUUAAAGGAGACAAUAUAUUAAAAGUUGAGCUGGAACCACAUAGUCCUUUAAUAUGAUUAGCCAGUUAUCCAAGUAUCAAUAACGUUAAUCUUUUAAAUGAAAACAAUGAAAUUUUAUGAGCUUAACUGAAAUGUCUUAAUUUAGAACUUCUCAAUUCUUUUCAUCAUAUAUAUUUCAUUACUACCUUUCGUUAUCAGUAUUUCAUAAUUGAUGUUGUAAUGUUUGAGACCUUAAAGGGAUACUACCCAUCACCUAACAUAUGCAUAGCUCUGGCUUGAAAAAAAUUUUUUUUCCCCUAUUUAUCUCAACUCUCAUUUUUAUUAUUCAGGGAGUUCCAAAGUCAUGAUUGGAAGAGACAUGAUUUACCUUAUGGCUACAAACAGCAUAUGAUCCUAAGAAAUCAUGCAUCUUCUGGCUGGGCGCAGUGGCUUAUGCCUGUAAUCCCAGCACUUUGGGAGGCCGAGGCAGGCGGAUCACCUGAGGUCAGGAGUUCAAGACCAGCCUGACCAACAUGGAGAAACCCCAUCUCUACUAAAAAUACAAAAUUAGCUGGGGUAGUGGCGCAUGCCUGUAAUCCCAGCUACUCGGGAGGCUGAGGCAGGAGAAUUGCUUGAACCUGGGAGGCGGAGGUUGUGGUGAGUCGAGAUUGCGCCAUUGCACUCCAGCCUGGGCAACAAGAGCGAAACUCUGUCUCAAAAAAAAAAAAAAACCCAGAAAUCAUGCAUCUUCUAUAUUCAAACAAAUCUUUAACAAGAGCAAGAGUAAAAUUAAGAAGAAUGUAUGUCUUCAUUAUAAAGUUCUUACCUAGUAGGGGCAAGUUUUUUAUUUUAAUGUAUUCUUUCAAAACCUAAGAAAUCUUUCCUAAAUGAAAAAUUCUUGUUACUACUACAAAUAUUCUUUCCACUCAUGACAUUUUACAUAGCAUCAUUUAAGCACCAGAGAAAAGUUCUGUAAACAAACUUUUAACCAGUAAACUAAGGGCAAAUAUCUAUUUGCCUUUAUUACAAUAUUUAAAAGGCCAUGAUAUGAGUCUCUACUCCCUACAAUGACAUUUUUAUAAUGAAAAUCCAGGCAUAUUUAUACAAACAAAUGGAAUUACUGUACAUUUUGGGAGAACAAAAGGCAGAUCAACAGACUAGAACUAGAACUUUUGAGUUAAUAAAGCAAGCAGAAGGAACUAGAAAAAUGUAUGCCAUGUAUAAAAAUUCAGUUUUUUUAAAGUUUCAUUGAAGGGAUUAAUAAUUAUUAAGAAUAAAAGAUGGUAGUUCCACUUGCUUAUAAUUAUCCUGUAAAAUUAAGAAAGUAAUAAGCAAUAAAUUAGAAAUGUCUUAGUUCCUAGUAUUUCCCUUCUCUUGCACUGGAAACAUUUUCACAGCAGUUAAAAUUGGCUCUCUUAAAUAUCAGAAUAAUUCUUGCAGAAAAUAAAUUCCAUCAGGAAGAAGUUAACAGUCUACAACAGAUUUCUGACAAAUACAUUAGAAAAAAAAAUACUGCAGGUCACAUGAAGACUGAUCUACAUGUUAUAUGACAGAGUAACUCAAACCUUCAAACCUUCUCUAUUUUACCAUAUUUGCUUUUUUGCUAUUAUAUUGCUAUCUAAACUGUUUGGUAGCAAGGUAAUAGAAAAAUAAAAGGUAAAAAGAACACAACAAUUGUUUAAUGUCUGUAGAUUUAUGAAGAAGAAACUCUCAAAAUAAACUUUUUCCUAUUACAGUUACUUAGGAAAAAAGUUUCAUUUGGCACACUGAAUUUAUAAAACGAAAAAAGAAAAUAAACUUAAGAGUGUUUGGCAUUCCAAUCACCUGUAGUUAAGACAACAGUAGAAAAGAAAAGUAGGAGAAAUUACUAUUUUAAGAAAAAACAUCAGAAGACAAACAAACAAAUGUUCUUGUGUCUUCUACCAUUCACUGUUCCUGGAAUACUUUCAUCUGCAACACAAUAUACAAAUUAUUAUUUACAUUAUGAUUAUAUUGGUAAAGAAGACCAGAAUCAGGUUUUGUUGUGCUCUAACUUAGUGUCCAUUGGGAUAACUGUGACCAUCAAGGCAAGGCCUUAAACAACAAAAAAUUACAUUUGCAUUGUAUAUUUUGUUUAAGUCUGUUUUCUGGUUCAUCUUCAAGUUUGGUGCACAAAUAUGUAAGACUCUAAAAAGUCCUGUAAACUUAGGCUGUUUCUGUAGCCGAUGACGUUCAUUGAAGAUCUUGUGUUUCCUCUUUUAAGUAAAAUGUUCUGCAGGUUUACAAAGGUAUUUCCUUAAACAGUGGUAUCUCCAAAGUCCUUGUUCCAACGUAUGUACGCUUCUAAAGUUUGAGGGCUGACGCUGCGUUUUAUUUUUUUCAAGGAUUCAGUGAAGUCAGAUAAUCGAAUAUUUCUCAUCUAGAUUUUUAAAAAGCACAUGACAAUACAAAUGAUCAACAGGUAUAUGGUGGUUAACGAAAUGAUGGAUUAAAGUAAUGAUGCUGCUGUUUCUUAAUGUUAUAAAAAAUAUACGUGUAUGUAUUCUUAGAAAAUUAUGUCAGCCAUUUAAAUAUAUUUUCUAUGUUGAUCUGCUACACAAGAAACCUUAAUAAAUGCUAUACUAAUAUAUUUAUUACUUGUGUUUAGUUUCAUAGGUAUUAACAUUUGAAAGCAUAAUAUUUUUCCAAUAUAAAAACAAAACACAAUCAUUUAUAGAAAAGUUCAAAAAUACAGACAAAGAGAAAAAAAGAAUCACAAUUUCACCACUCAGAUAUGCAACCUCCCCCUCCAAGGUUCAAGCAAUUCUUCUGUCUCAGCCUCCCGAGUAGCUGGGAUUACAGGCACAUGCCUCCAUGCCCAGCUAAUUUUUGUAUUUUUAGUAGAGACAGGGUUUCGCCAUGAUGGCCAGGUUGGUCCUGAACUCCUAACCUCAGGUGAUCCGCCCACCUUGGCCUCCCAAAGUGCUGGGAUUACAGACGUGAGCCACUUUGCCCAGCCUAAAGUAUGCAUUUUUAUAUUAAUUUGGUCUUAUUUUCUGAUCUUUUAAAUUGCCUUUGGAAAUAUAGAUUAAAACAAUGCUGAGUUAAUGAAUAUCUAUAUUUACACCUAAGUAUUUUUAAAAGGCAAAAUGGAUAGGUUCACAGAGUCCAGGCAAUAGAAAAAUUAAUAAAAAUUUUGGCCAAGCACGGUGGCUCACACCUGUAAUCCCCGCACUUUGGGAGGCCAAGGCGGGUGGAUCACCUGAGGUCAGCAGUUCGAGACCAGCCUGGCCAACAUGGUGAAACCCCGUCUCCACUAAAAAUACAAAAAUUAGCCAGGCAGGUGCCUGUAAUCCCAGCUACUCAGGAGGCUGAGGCAGGAGAAUCGCUUGAACCUGGGAGGUGGAGGUUGUAAGUGAGCCGAGAUCGUGCCAUUGCACUCCAGCUUGGGCAAUGAGUGAGACUCCCUCUCAAAAAAAAAAAAAAAAAAAAAAAUUAAGGCAAAAUGCAGUUUGGCAUAAAUGACCUGUGUUAAAAAUCAUUUCUAGCGUAUACCUGUAUUUUGGCCCAAAAAUAAGAAGUUAAAGAACUUUAAACAAAACUCCAACAACUGGUAUUUAUCCGUAUUUUAAAAACUACUCUUAAAAACCCAAUCUAACUUCAUAUCAUCUUUGAUAUCUCCAUGAGAUAUCACCUACACUUGUAACUUGUAAACUAAUCUGAAAAAUUUUAGCCAAAAAGAAAAAAACAUAUAGUUAAAAUAUAGGCUGGCUGCAGUGGCUCGCACCUGUUAAUCCCAGAACUUUGGGAGGCUGAAGCAAGUGGAUCACUUGAGCCCAGGAGUUAGAGACCAGCCUGGGCAACAUGGCAAAGCCUCAUCUCUACAAAAUGUACAAAAUUUAGCUAGGCAUGGUGGCGCACGCCUGUAGUCUCAGCUACUAGGGAAGCUGAGGUGGGAGGAUCACUUGAGUCUGGGAGGUUGAGGCUGCAGUGAGCCAUGAGCAUGCCAAUGUAUUUCAGCCUGGGAGACAGAGUGAUACCCUGUCUCAAAAAAAAAAACCCCAAAAACCCAGCAACCCCCCACCAAAGAAAACCCCAUAAGCACUAUAUGAACCCUACUUGUUUCCUAUUUAACUGUAACACACACACUGCCUCUUCCUAAAGGCCAAAGUGUAGAAGAAUAAUGAAUGUAACAUGGGUAUUAAACAUGAUAUUACUAAAUAAAAUUUAUUUGUUAUAGAAAUUAAUAUUUUUGUUUUGAGACAGGGUCUCACUGUUACCCAGGCUGGAGUGCAGUGGCAUGAUCUCGGCUCACUGCAACCUCUGCCUCCCAGGCUUAAGAGAUCCUCCCAAGUAGCUAGGACUAUAGGUGUGCGCCACCACGCCCAGCUAACUUUUUGUAAUUUUUGUAGAGAUGAGGAUUUCACCAUGUUAUCCAGGCUGGUCUCGAAUUCCUGAGCUCAAGGGAUCCAAUGGCCUGAGCCUCCCAAAGUGCUGGGAUUAUAGGCAUGAACAACCACGCCUGGCCAGAAAUUAAGGUUUUAAAAGAUGUUGAUGUAAUUGUACUUUAAGUCUAUAGUUUGAUAUGUGUAUAUAUAUGAAACUUAUAUGAUAUUUUAACGUAAGAGACUAAUGUAUACAACAGGAAAAAGGCAGAUGGUAGCUGGUUCAGUUAAGGGGGGAAAUAAGUAGAAAAGUUGUCUUAUCAAACCAAAAUAAUAAAGGACUUAAAGUUAAAUUAGAUACACAAGGUACUUAAAAAACAAAGUAUAUUGUACCCCAAUUUAUAACCAACAAUUUUAGUACUAACCUUAAAAAUACAGAAAUUCCAAACCAAUUAUUUGAACUUCUACUAUUAUAAACUGUAAAAGAUAAGUUGGGUUUUUCUUUUUUUUUUUUUUGGAGAUGGAGUCUCGCUCCUGUCGCACAGACUGGAGUGCAGUGGUACGAUCUCAGCUCACUGCAACCUCCACCUCCCCAGGUUCAAGCAAUUCUCCUUCCUCAGCCUCCCGAGCAGCUGGGAUUACAGGCAUGUGCCACCACGCCCGGCUAAUUUUUGUAUUUUUAGUGGAGACGGGGUUUCGCCACGUUGGCCAGGCUGGUCUCGAACUCAAGACCUCAGGUGAUCCAACUGCCUCGGCCUCCCAAAGUGGUAGGAUUACAGGCGUGAGCCACUGUGUGCGACCAAGUUGGGUUUUCCUUACCUAAAUUUAUAUAUAUUCACCGGUAACUGACAAUACACUUUGGUAUUAAAGUUGCAUCAAAUAAUGGGUAUAUAAAAUUCUAGUAUACAGUUUUAGAGAGCAAACUACUUGUGUUUACGUCUCAUCCCAUAAAUGGAAAUGAGAGAAUGGAUUACCUUAAUCUCUAUAAUAAAAUGCCACUAUCAGUUUUAUAUUUUUUAAAGUUAUUUAAUGGAUCUUUACAUAGUGUUUACUACGUGCCAGCUACUUUAAGUGCUUUAUAAAUAUUAACUCAUAAGUAAGCAAUAACAGCUAAAGGUCAUUAUCAAAUUAUUAAUACCAAAACCACUAGAUUAAAAAGAAACAACUGAAUGAAAGUAUAUAGUAGAGCCAGGCAUGGUGGCUCACACCUGCAAUCCCAGCACUUUGGGAGGCCGAGGUGGGCGGAUCUCCUGAGGUUGGGAGUUCCAGAUCAGCCUGACCAACAUAGUGAAACCCCGUCUCUACAAAAACACAAAAUUAGCCAGGCAUAGUGGCGCAUGCCUGUAAUCCCAGCUACUCAGGAGGCUGAGGCAGGAGAAUCACUUGAACCCAGGAGGCGGAGGUUGCAGUGAGCCGAGAUUGCACCAUUGCACUCCAGCCUGGGCAACAACAGCGAAACUCAGUCUCAAAAAAAAAAGUAUACAGUAGAACCAAAUAUUGUAACAAUAUAACCUGAAUAUAUAUAAUUAAUGGGAUGCUCACAAAAGGGACCAGUAAUAUUCUUCCUUGUAAAUCACUCAGUAGUUUUAUUAAGCUUUAAUUUUUAGUUUUACCAUCUAAAUUUUUAAUAAAUAAUGUUAUGACUUUUAAAAAAUGGUGGAUAAAAUUAUAUUUUUAGGUGUGGGAUUAAAAAUUUCAAGUCUGGCACGGUGUCACACCUGUAAUCCCAGCAUUUUGGGAGGUGCAAGUGGGAGGAAUGCUUGAGGAAUCUGAGACCAGCCUAGGCAACAUAGUGAGACCCCAUCUCUACAAAAAAUUAAAAAUUUAGCUGAGUGUGGUGGUACAUGCCCGUAGUCCCAGCAACUCAAAAGGCUGAGGCAGGAGGAUUGCCUGAGCCCAGGAGCUAGAGGGUGCAGUGAGCCAUGAUUGUACCACUGCACUCCAGCCUGGGCAACCAAGUGAGACACUGUCCCAAAAAAUAAAAUAA